rnacentral:misc_RNA from 1 species
UACGUAGGUGGCAAGCGUUGUCCGGACUUAUUGGGCGAAAAGCGCGCGCAGGUGGAUCUUUAAGUCUGAUGUGAAAGCCCACGGCUCAACCGUGGAGGGUCUUUCGAAACCGGGGAACUUGAGUGAAGAAGAGAAAAGUGGAAUUCCAAGUGUAGCGGUGAAAUGCGUAGAGAUUUGGAGGAACACCAGUGGCGAAGGCGACUUUCUGGUCUGUAACUGACACUGAGGCGCGAAAGCGUGGGGAGCGAACAGG